rfam:Campylobacter mucosalis strain DSM 21682 contig00008, whole genome shotgun sequence.
CUUAUUUUAUGUUUUCUUUGCUAUAAUCGCCCUUUUUAAUCUUACCAAUCAGGAGGUCUAAAAUGGCUUUGGAUUCGGCUAAAAAAGCAGAAAUAGUUGCGAAAUUCGCUAGAAAAGAC